rnacentral:rRNA from 1 species
GACGUAGGGCGCGAGCGUUGUCCGGAUUUAUUGGGCGUAAAGAGCUCGUAGGCGGCUUGUUACGUCGGAUGUGAAAACCCAUGGCUCAACUGUGGGCUUGCAUCCGAUACGGGCAGGCUAGAGUUCGGUAGGGGAGACUGGAAUUCCUGGUGUAGCGGUGAAAUGCGCAGAUAUCAGGAGGAACACCGGUGGCGAAGGCGGGUCUCUGGGCCGAUACUGACGCUGAGGAGCGAAAGCCAGGGGAGCAAACGGG